rnacentral:lncRNA from 1 species
UUUCUAAAUGAUGUUAGGUUUAACUACUAGGCAAGUAACCGACCUAUAACAUUACAUAUAUUAUAUCCCAAUCAACCAUGACAUUUUAUUAUAAUUCAUUAACCAAAUUUACUAUUUCAUUAACCAAUAAAAUAUAUAGUAUUAACCAAAUUCUGACAUUGAAAUAUGAAAUAACUUAUAUUUUAUGGUUAAUACAAUAAUAAAAUUGGUUAAUGACAUAUUUUAUAUUUGUGUUAUAAAAAUAAUUUUAAAAAUAAAAAUAUUUUUUAAUAAAUAUUUU